AUUGAACGCUGGCGGCAGGCCUAACACAUGCAAGUCGAGCGGAUGAAGGGAGCUUGCUCCUGGAUUCAGCGGCGGACGGGUGAGUAAUGCCUAGGAAUCUGCCUGGUAGUGGGGGAUAACGUCCGGAAACGGGCGCUAAUACCGCAUACGUCCUGAGGGAGAAAGUGGGGGAUCUUCGGACCUCACGCUAUCAGAUGAGCCUAGGUCGGAUUAGCUAGUUGGUGGGGUAAAGGCCUACCAAGGCGACGAUCCGUAACUGGUCUGAGAGGAUGAUCAGUCACACUGGAACUGAGACACGGUCCAGACUCCUACGGGAGGCAGCAGUGGGGAAUAUUGGACAAUGGGCGAAAGCCUGACCCAGCCAUGCCGCGUGUGUGAAGAAGGUCUUCGGAUUGUAAAGCACUUUAAGUUGGGAGGAAGGGCAGUAAGUUAAUCCCUUGCUGUUUUGACGUUACCAACAGAAUAAGCCCCGGCUAACUUCGUG
rnacentral:rRNA from 1 species